GAUGAACGCUGGCGGCGUGCUUAACACAUGCAAGUCGAACGGAAAGGCUCCUGCUUGCAGGGGUACUCGAGUGGCGAACGGGUGAGUAACACGUGGGUGAUCUGCCCUUCACUUCGGGAUAAGCCUUGGAAACUGGGUCUAAUACCGGAUAGGACCACAUUUUGGGUGGUGUGGUGGAAAGUUUUUCGGUGUUGGAUGAGCUCGCGGCCUAUCCGCUUGUUGGUGGGGUAAUGGCCUACCAAGGCGUCGACGGGUAGCCGGCCUGAGAGGGUGUACGGCCACAUUGGGCCUGAGAGACGGCCCAGACUCCUACGGGAGGCAGCAGUGGGGAAUAUUGCACAAUGGGCGCAAGCCUGAUGCAGCGACGCCGCGUGGGGGAUGACGGCCUUCGGGUUGUAAACUACUUUCGCUAGGGACGAAGCGCAAGUGACGGUACCUGGAGAAGAAGCCCCGGCUAACUACGUG
rnacentral:rRNA from 1 species